rnacentral:rRNA from 1 species
UGCGUAGGGUGCGAGCGUUGUCCGGAAUUAUUGGGCGUAAAGAGCUCGUAGGCGGCUUGUCGCGUCGGAUGUGAAAGCCCGGGGCUUAACUCCGGGUCUGCAUUCGAUACGGGCAGGCUAGAGUUCGGUAGGGGAGAUCGGAAUUCCUGGUGUAGCGGUGAAAUGCGCAGAUAUCAGGAGGAACACCGGUGGCGAAGGCGGAUCUCUGGAACGCAACUGACGCUGAGACGCGAAAGCGUGGGGAGCAAACAGG